GACGAUUCUGGCGGUCAAGCGGCUUCAGUUCUUGCGUCAAUUUGAUCUUGCCAAGAUAUGUUGGCAAAAUUCGUUACAACGACGUCACAGAGAUGCCCAACGCUUGAGAACGGCGUGUGAGAGGCUAAUUUGUGUCUUCCUCAAUUGAUGAGCUAGCGGCAGCAAUAUCCUCGACACUAUGGGCACUUCUUUAUCUCACUGGCACAGUAACAUUUUUUCUUGAUUCAUUAUUCUUUGGCCACUAUUUGUUCAGAAUCCUGAUCCACUUGUUAUGUAUUCAUGUAUUUUAAUUCUUAUGAGACUACUGCAGACGAUUCUUCCAAAAAAAAUGGAUAUUUUAAAGCUUGAAGUUUGGAAUGUUAAAAAUAAUUGCCUCUACGACUUUGUCGUGCGCUAAACCAAAACAUUUACAGCGCUUUCGACAAAUCAAGAUUUUCUUCGACUACAAUUACAAAAACUUUGUACGCAAAGUAAUCAUAUUGAGCAAGCACUGGGGCAGCAGCUGCAAUAGUUAUUCCAGUAAAAACACUUCUCGCUGGCUCAAAUUGUUUUUAACAUGCCGAGCCACACAAAAUCUUCAUUUUAUUAACACAUGUUAUAUUUUGUUGAUCGCCAUCAAUAUGACUGCUCCAACGGUAUUAAAUUUGACAAGAAAACUGACAACUCCAAUAAAAGUAGCAUUUACCGACCAAAUUCAAUUUACCAUUCAAAUUAAAUGUAUUUCGACUUGCCAACCACAAGACAAGCACUAACAAAUUUUCAAAUUCAACUAAAUCCAUGCAUACAUAUACAAUAAAUAAGAUACAAAUUUAUAUACAUACAUAUAUAAAAUAGAUUAAAAUAAAUAAGCUAUACAAACAUUGCCAUUAAUACAGUUAAGCACAUCAUAAAUAAAUAACCACUGAACAAUAAACAAUAAGAAGCAAAUACAACAAACAAUACUUGAAAUACAAAUUUUGCAGUAAACAUAUAGUUCAAUUCAAGUUCAUACAAAGUAUAGAAAUGUAAGAUCAACUACAUAUUUAUAACUUAAUCAAAUGAGCGUAUAAAGAUCUAUUUUUUGUAAGUUAGCCAGCUAAGCCGUAUUUAUACAAAAAACUAAACUAAAAAAUUCCCAAAUACAAACAAAUUAAUUCAGUAAAAAAAUAUAUAAAUGAAACUUGUAAAACAUCACCAAAUUUACGGCGAUUAUUUUUCUACUAACAAACGUGCAAACCGUGAAUAAACAAAAUAGUCUAUAAUGUAAAAUUUUGACAAGAGUGUACUGAGCACAAACGACUAAGUACAUACUAUAUAAGUGUUUGUAUGUUUGUGCUGUGGAAAUUUCAUAAAAAGCAACACACGGUCAUGAAUAAAUGCGCUUCAAAGUGCCGAACGUGUUGUUGUUUCCAUGUAAGAGAGCCAUCAAACUAUAUAAUUAAUAAUACAUAACAGACUUACAUACAUACACGCAUAUAACAAAAUGCGAAUUAAAGUUCAAACACUUAUUUCAAGUGACAGCAAAGAUUUGUUCAAAUUAAUUGCAUUUGACUCAGCAGCGCUCAUAAUUAACUUGUAUAACAAUAAAAUAAAACACUAACACACUAAUAAGUUACAAAUGCUGCAAAAUAAAUACAUUUAUAGACUUCGUAAAAGAAUACUCCUUGCAAAGAGUUUUUGCUAAAUCACAUUCGUGGUCAACAAAUAAUCAAGCGUAUUUCAGUAUACUUAGAUAUAACUACAAUAAAUACGAUUAACUGAUAGAUCACUGAAUAAUAACCAAUAUAACAGACAAUUUUUAUAUAUAACGUAACUAAUAGAGUCAAUCCUAAAAAUACAAAGGUAUAAACAUUUAAGGGAACUUUUUUUUAUAAUAGCAGUUUUUCAGUAUCAUAAAUAAUACUUUUUUAGGAGGGAUAAAAUUUCAAACUUUUUUGCGAGCAAAUCAUCUAUUAACAUAACUUUUCAUAAAACUACAUAAAAAUAAAUUUCUUUUAUCUUAAUUUUGAAGCUUUCAAAGUGUCAUGAAAUAAUCGAGAACUAGUUAAACCAUGAUUCAAUAAUAUAGUAAAGGUUGUGGUGAUAGCCCAAAAAUAAGAAUUUCUCAGAAAUGUUUUAACUAAAAAUGUCAAAAUCAGUUUUUGCUUUGUUUUUAUAAUUCGAAAAUAAGUUUUUCAACGCUCCAACCAGAAGGUUGUGUCAAUAGCCCAAAAACAACAAUUUGUGAAAAUUAAUUGGAACCAUAAUGUCAAAAUCAGCCGUUUUCUUUUGUAUUGUUCUGUCUUUACCAUGAAUCAAUUAUAGAAAGUUACGUCGAUAUGGAGCGUGCUUCCUCUUACGACAGCAAUGAUUGUAUCCAUAAUAUCAAAAUUAGUUGCUUUUUGUCCUUCUCAUGAUUUUUCAGAAUUUGAUGCUUUUGGGUAAUUUACAAUCUAUUCGCAUUCAGUUAUCACUCAAUAAAGGCCUUUUCAUUGGUUGAAAAUUAAAAAAAAAAUUAUUUCUGAAGUAUAAAAAAACAAAAAACAAUACAAAAACAAACGGCUGAUUUUGACAAUUAUUUUUGACAAUUUGUUGUUUUUAGGCUAUCGACGCAGCCUUGAAUAAUUGAAUCAUGGUUUUUAUGAUUCAAGAAAUAAAUUGCACAGCAAUACAGUGUGAACCUCCCUUUAAUUACAUAUAAAAACAUAAAGACGUUAGCAAAAUAGAAAACCAUGAAAUUCGAAAACGUUUAGAUGUACGAAGGCAAAUACAUGCGAAAAGUACAAAUUGUGCUUUAAAUUGAUGAAUCACUUGAUAUGAUAUAUUUAGAAAAACCAGAAAGAAUAUAAAAAAGAAGUUUGUUCACUGAAAAUAGUUAAAGUUUACAACAAAAUGAUUUAUUGCUGGACCAUGGACUUACAUACAUUACAUACGCUCAAAUCAUACACGCUAUACAUAUUUCACCUUGAAUCAGCUAGCGACUGGAAAGAAAAUGGAAAAUAAAAGCUUCUAGGCGCUUCCAUUUAAACUUUCGUGAAACAAAAUAAUAACACUUGCAUUCCUUUAUAACAACUUGCCAUACACAUGCGUAGGUUCUUCACAACAACUUUUUAAUAUAAAAUGCACUUACUUUUUUAGACAUCUUUCAUCAAUUUCAUUACCUGCAUUUUGCUUGAAACUGAUCUUUAAAACUUUUCAAUGCGUGACUCAUCUAAAUAUAAUAUACUUACUAUAGAUAAAAAACUACUACUUACAUUUCCUUCGCUUCUUGAGCUAUCCAGCGAUCUCAGCGGAACAAAGAUCAUUUGAAUUAAUUAAUCACUAAUUUUACCACUUCUGAUACCGUAACAAAACUUUUAAUAUGUUCUCAAAUAAAUACGGUGAGUUGCCUAAAACCUGAGUUUCACACAAUAUCGAAUCAAGCAAGCACACUAGACACUGUUUUCGUAAGCACGCUCAUCAAACGGAAUCAUUUUCAUUUGUAUUUGAUUGAUGUGUAAUUAAUAUAAAGUAAUUAAGCGAAAAUGUAAUCUAAAAAUAAAAUAAAGUUAAAGUAAACAACAACAAAGAAAUUAAAUGAACUCAGGGAUAGAGCCUCCAAAAAUUUAAUAAAUAAAAGACAUGCAAUAUUUUAGCAAAAAACAAAGGAAAAAAAAAACAAAAACCAAAACAAAAAUAUAAUAAUUGCUUAUACGAAAUUUUAAAUUUAACAAAUUUUAACGAGAAUGAAAAUAUAUGUCUAAAAUACUUGAAAUAACAAAACGUAAAAAUUCAAAAAGAAAAACUGAAAGCACCGGAAGAAACUAUAAAACCAUUUAAUUGAUAUAAAAGUUUAAAUAUGUAGUAAGCAGAUAGAACUUAAAAGUAAAAAAAACAACUCAAGCAUAUUUGAAAGCGUCAAACAAAAUACGAACAAAGCUUACAUAUGAAAUUAAAACAUUUUAAACAAUUUCACACACACAAAAUUUUGCACAAUACUUAUUAAAUAAUUUAUGUACUCUUGUAUGGCAAACAAAAAACUUAAAAAAAGUCAAAACAGAUUUAUUGUAAUUUGAACUACAAAUCUUGUUUUGCUUUAAAAUAUUUUCAAUUUUUUGUGAUAAAAUAGAUAAUGUAUGUAUACAUUCGUAUAACUACUACAAUGUAACUUAACUCUUUUGGUAUAUAUUCGGAUAGGAACCAAAAACAAAAAAUAAGUUGUAGAAGUUUGUGUUUGGGGCUUAAAAGUGAUACGAUAGAAUUUUGCAAGGUGUUUACGGUUUUUGUUGCUGUUGCUGAAUGACAGUAGUAGUGCAGUUUACUUUAAUCAUGCAUAACCAUGUGCCACCUGCAACUUAAAAUAUUGAGGUAUAAGAAAUACUACAUAAAGCAGUGGCAGCAUUGCCGUUAGUAAGCCUAGUAGGUUUCAGUGAUGAUUAUAAAUACAUAUUACGGUAACCGUUAUUACCCUAGUUGAUUUUCUUUUUUUUUACAAACGCUCCCUGAAGCUUCAGCAUUUGCUCUAAAAACCCAAACAAAGCUCUUUAUUUUCAAUAUGAACGUUGGCUAAGCUAUUUUAUUUUUAUCAAACAUUUAAUUUAUUGAUCUUUUGGAAUAAUUUUUGUUCUUAUCUCCCAGGCAAAUAAACCUACAGAACAUGAUAUUUUCAUACAAUAUUUUCCAUUCUGAAAACUUCUUCAAAAAGGUCUCAUUAAUUUUUUGUGAAACCAUUUCUUUAAAAGUUAUACGCAGUUAAGUUAGUACACCAUGUCGUAUGAGCGACACAGAAUGUAUACAUAAAUUCAUACGGUGCACCAUGUCGUAUGAGUGACACAGAAUGUAUACAUAAAUCACUUGUAUGAAUGCUUAGGUCAUUGGACUAACACAAUACAUAUACCAUGCUUGUUGCUUUUUUAGCUUUUUUCACGUUUAUAUUGUAAACUAUUAUUUGACAAAAAUAUGUCAAUAUGUUAAAUGUACAAUUUUAGGUUUAAAAAUGCUUUUACACCAUACUGCUAGUCCAUUAGUUGCCUUCAAUAACUUUUAAUUUUGGUUUUUGGUUAUAAUACGCUGAUUUCAGCGUUAAAUAAGACACCUUUAAGAUAAUGUCUACACAUAUUGUGUUAGGAAUGUUUAGACUUUACAAAAUAUCUAUAAUUUUGUUUGCAUUAAUUUUACUCUCCUACUUGCUAUAAUAUAAAGUAGUUUAAAUAAUUUUUACGUUUGAGCAAACAGUUGUAAGGUUAGAAAGUAGUUGGAUGGCAAAAUUGAUAACAAUCGGUAUGAAAGAUAAUAUUUUUGUAAACGACCUGAAAUGAGUAGUUUAUUUUUAUAUGCAGAAAGAUAUAGGGUGUAGCGUAUGGCGAGUGCGUCAUGACCUUGAUCAGGUUUUCAAAUAUUAAUAUAUAUGUAGGUAUGUAAUAGUAAGCUGCGAACAAAAGACGACUUGGUAGUACGUAGUAGGAUUAAAAAAAACUAUUUUUAUGAAAAUAUGGACUGUAAAAUCAAACGAUAUGGAAGAAUGAAAUAUUUGAUGCUCGCCACUAGGAAAACCAGUGAGCAUAUGAAAUACUUGUAUUAUUGUAAAGAAAUGCAUGCAUACGAGUACAUAAGUACAUAUUGGUUAAAUGAAUAUUCACGAAAAAUAUAAAAAUUAAAUUCACUUUACAGCAGCUGUUUUUCACUUAUUAAAUUAGAAAUGAAAAUUUUGAAAAAAAUUUAAUAUUAUAAAAGAUAGUUUACGACAAUGGUGAUAUAGUAUUGGUGUAGCAACAAUUACAUAAUAAAUUCUUCAAUUGGACUCACUCAGAAAAACCAGCAACGUUUAUGAAGCAUAGUAAUUAGAAAUUAUGAGGAAGUAAGCAGACUUGCAUACAAGCAAGUAAACGGAAGGCGCGUAUUUAUUUGACAGCAAUGAGGAUACUGAAAUAUGUUUAGGAUGAUGCAUAUAUUAUAAUUCUUAAACUUAUUAACUUAACAAAUUACUUCAAAGUAUUUCAUAAAAAUGAAAGGUGUGUAUAAUGUAAGGCAAAUGAUAUAAUAAUGAGCAUAUAAAUAAUUACACAAAAGAAUUGAGCGAAACAAGCUAAUGUGCGAUAUUGUACUAAAUUAUGAAUAACUUUGUACUUGAAUUAAUAUUUUAUUUAAACUUAAGUCAAGAUAUUCAAAUAAAAUAUAAUCAUUUCAAUUCAAAUAUA